rnacentral:rRNA from 1 species
GCACGGGUGCGUAACGCGUAUGCAACUUGCCUCACAGAGGGGGAUAACCCGUCGAAAGACGGACUAAUACCGCGUACACUCUAUGUUGGGCAUCCAAUGUAGAGGAAAUGAAAUUCGCUGUGAGAUAGGCAUGCGUCCCAUUAGCUAGUUGGUGAGGUAACGGCUCACCAAGGCGACGAUGGGUAGGGGAACUGAGAGGUUGAACCCCCACACUGGUACUGAGACACGGACCAGACUCCUACAGGAGGCAGCAGUGAGGAAUAUUGGUCAAUGGGCGAGAGCCUGAACCAGCCAAGUCGCGUGAAGGAUGACUGUCUUAUGGAUUGUAAACUUCUUUUAUACGGGAAUAACAAGAGCCACGUGUGGCUCCCUGCAUGUACCGUAUGAAUAAGCAUCGGCUAACUCCGUGCCAGCAGCCGCGGUAAUACGGAGGAUGCGAGCGUUAUCCGGAUUUAUUGGGUUUAAAGGGUGCGUAGGCGGCCUGUUAAGUCAGCGGUGAAAUCUAGGAGCUUAACUCCUAAGUUGCCAUUGAUACUGGCGGGCUUGAGUGUAGAUGAGGUAGGCGGAAUGCGUGGUGUAGCGGUGGAAUGCAUAGAUAUCACGCAGAACUCCGAUUGCGAAGGCAGCUUACUAAGGUACAACUGACGCUGAAGCACGAAAGCGUGGGUAUCAAACAGGAUUAGAUACCCUGGUAGUCCACGCAGUAA